rnacentral:misc_RNA from 1 species
GAUGAAGAACGUAGCGAAAUGCGAUAAGUAAUGUGAAUUGCAGAAUUCAGUGAAUCAUCCAAUCUUUGAACGCACAUUGCGCCCGCCAGUAUUCUGGCGGGCAUGCCUGUUCGAGCGUCAUUACAACCCUCAGGCCCCCGGGCCUGGCGUUGGGGAUCGGCGGAAGCCCCCUGCGGGCACAACGCCGUCCCCCAAAUACAGUGGCGGUCCCGCCGCAGCUUCCAUUGCGUAGUAGCUAACACCUCGCAACUGGAGAGCGGCGCGGCCACGCCGUAAAACACCCUACUUCUGAAUGUUGACCUCGAAUCAGGUAGGAAUACCCGCUGAACUUAAGCAUAUCAAUAAGCGGAGGA